CCCUUAGAUGUUCUGGGCCGCACGCGCGCUACACUGAUGCAUUCAACGAGUUUCUUCCUGGUCCGAGAGGAAUGGGUAACCUUUUGAAAGUGCAUCGUGAUAGGGAUAGACUAUUGAAAUUAUUGGUCUUCAACGAGGAAUUCCUAGUAGACGUAGUUCAUCAGACUGCAUCGAUUACGUCCCUGCCCUUUGUACACACCGCCCGUCGCUCCUACCGAUUGAAUGCUCAGGUGAGCCAUUCGGACUUUCAUCAUGCUGGUUUCCAGUUUUGAUGAAGGAAAGUCUUGCGAACCUUAUCAUUUAGAGGAAGGAGAAGUCGUAACA
rnacentral:rRNA from 1 species